rnacentral:rRNA from 4 species
UAGGACUACCCGCUGAACUUAAGCAUAUCAAUAA